AAAUGAAUUAAGAGGCAACUCUUAACUGGCCAGCUAAAGAAAAGCCGAGAGGUUCAAAGUUAGCGGGCAGAAAGUCCUGCAAAGUAGCGCUUAACAUAGCGGGGCGGCAGGUUCGGCGGUAGCGACUACAACGACGAACCAA
rnacentral:sRNA from 10 species